rnacentral:rRNA from 1 species
UACAUGGGGUGCAAACGUUGCUCGGAAUUAUUGGGCGUAAAGCGCGCGUAGGCGGUUACUCAAGUCGGAUGUGAAAGCCCUCGGCUUAACUGAGGAAGUGCACCCGAAACUGAGUAGCUAGAGUACUAAAGAGGGUCGCGGAAUUCCCGGUGUAGAGGUGAAAUUCGUAGAUAUCGGGAGGAACACCGGUGGCGAAGGCGGCGACCUGGGUAGAUACUGACGCUGAGGCGCGAAAGCGUGGGGGGCAAACAGG